rnacentral:lncRNA from 1 species
GGAAUAACUUGUCUACGCGGAUUACCGCAUGCCUGGUGAAUAACCAUUCGUAUUUAUUCUUUAUUAAUAUAUUGGAAUAACCUGUCUACGCGGAUUACAGCAUGCUUGGUGAAUAACCCUUCGUAUUCAUUCUUUAUUAAGUUGUGGAAAUGAUCUCUCUACGCGGAUUACCGUAUGACUGGUGAAAAUCCAUUUGCAGUUUAAUUCGUAUAUUCUUUCAUAGUUGUAAGACCCCAAAUUUUAUGAAUAAAGAUGAUUUUUCUAUAAAUAUCAUUUUUAAAUAUUAAGGUGUAAAUUUGAAAUAAUGUUAUAAUUGUGGGUAAUAUUUAUAAAUUUUGCAAAGUACGCAAGUUGUUUUAUAAUAUUCGAUUGGUCGGGGAAUAUUCGUUUUAACAGGGAAUAUUCGUACGAUGACACAAUCAUUGGUGGACCCCACAACAGAAUUAUUGUCGGAUUGAGAAAACAACAAAAAUAUUUUAUGAAAAUAACGACGGAAGUUUUACUGUUAACUGUUGAAACACCCGGUGUUAAAAGUACAGUAAUACGCGUGGUUGCAUAGUAUCACAUGGUUUUGAUUAUUGAUGCUUACGUGAGAAGUCACUCAGUUUUGUUCAAUUAUUGCUAUAGUAAUUGUUGCAUAGUAUUUCACGUUAUUUGAUUCAAUUAUUGUCGAUAUUUUAUAUAUUAUUAAAUCAAUAAUUGAGAUGACGAAGUUAUU